rnacentral:rRNA from 2 species
GGAUUCCCCUAGUAACUGCGAGUGAAGCGGGAAAAGCUCAAAUUUAAAAUCUGGCAGUCUUCGAUUGUCCGAGUUGUAAUUUAGAGAAGCGUUAUCCGCGUUGGACCGUGUACAAGUCUCCUGGAACGGAGCGUCAUAGAGGGUGAGAAUCCCGUCCAUGGCACGGACUACCAGUGCAUUGUGAUACGCUCUCGAAGAGUCGAGUUGUUUGGGAAUGCAGCUCUAAAUGGGUGGUAAAUUCCAUCUAAAGCUAAAUAUAGGCGAGAGACCGAUAGCGAACAAGUACCGUGAGGGAAAGAUGAAAAGAACUUUGGAAAGAGAGUUAAACAGUACGUGAAAUUGUUGAAAGGGAAACGCUUGAAGUCAGUCGCGUCGUUCAGGGAUCAGCCUUGCUUUGCUUGGUGUACUUCCUGUUCGACGGGUCAGCAUCAGUUUCGAUCGUUGGAAAAAGUGCGCAGGAAUGUGGCAUCUUCGGAUGUGUUAUAGCCUGUGUUCGUAUACAGCGGUUGGGACUGAGGAAUCAGCACUCGAUGCUUGGGAUGCUGGCAUAAUGGCUUUAAGCGACCCGUCUUGAAACACGGACCAAGGAGUCUAACAUGCCCGCGAGUGUUUGGGUGGAAAACCCGAGCGCGUAAUGAAAGUGAAAAGUUGGGAUCUCUGUCGUGGAGAGCACCGACGCCCGGACCAGAUGUUUUCGGACGGUUCUGCGGUAGAGCGUGUAUGUUGGGACCCGAAAGAUGGUGAACUAUGCCUGAAUAGGGCGAAGCCAGAGGAAACUCUGGUGGAGGCUCGUAGCGAUUCUGACGUGCAAAUCGAUCGUCGAAUUUGGGUAUAGGGG